GACGUAGGGCGCAAGCGUUGUCCGGAUUUAUUGGGCGUAAAGAGCUCGUAGGCGGCUUGUUGCGUCGACUGUGAAAAACCACGUCUCAACCGUGGGACUGCAGUCGAUACGGGCAGGCUAGAGUGUGGUAGGGGAGACUGGAAUUCCUGGUGUAGCGGUGAAAUGCGCAGAUAUCAGGAGGAACACCGAUGGCGAAGGCAGGUCUCUGGGCCACUACUGACGCUGAGAAGCGAAAGCGUGGGGGAGCGAACAGG
rnacentral:rRNA from 1 species